GGAUUAUAUGAAACAAUUCUUCUAAAUGCUGGGCACAGUGUCUGGCACAUGGUAACUGUUCAAUGAACAGCAGUUCUUUUUUUCUAAAAGUUGUUUUUUUUUUUUAACUAUAGGUAAAAGGCAACUUGGUGACUUUUAAAAAUCGUUAUUCAUUCAUGCUAAAAUGUAAGGAGUUGAGUGGAGUGUACUGUGUCUGGGAGGAAUGUACUCCUGUACUGUGUUUCUGUGGCACCACGUGACAUUAGAAUUAAUGAAGUUACAAUGAAUCACUACAGGGGUCCGGCGGACGUUAGCUAUCUGGAAAUACCUACCUAUGGCUGUUCUCCAUUUGAGUUUAAAAAGUAUGUGAAAUCAUCUCAUUUCAUUAUUCUAAACCUUCCAAUGGCUUUUCAUCAGGCAAAUCUGAGUCUGUAGAAUGGCUCAUAUGUCCCUAUUUAAGCUGGCGCCCACUUCUGUUGGAUGUUAUCACUCACAUCUCUCUUUCUGGUUUUGUUGACUGCCUUAGACACAAUCACCGUGCUUGCUACAGAGUGACCACAGCCUCAGCAGUUUAGCCAGAGACCAAUAGUGGUUUUACUGUCAUUCAAUAUCAGACCAGUGUUC
rnacentral:lncRNA from 1 species